UAACAAGGUCUCCGUUGGUGAACCAGCGGAGGGAUCAUUGCUGGAACGCGCCCCAGGCGCACCCAGAAACCCUUUGUGAACUUAUACCUUACUGUUGCCUCGGCGCUAGCUGGUCCUUCGGGGCCCCUCACCCUCGGGUGUUGAGACAGCCCGCCGGCGGCCAACCCAACUCUUGUUUUUACACUGAAACUCUGAGAAUAAAACAUAAAUGAAUCAAAACUUUCAACAACGGAUCUCUUGGUUCUGGCAUCGAUGAAGAACGCAGCGAAAUGCGAUAAGUAAUGUGAAUUGCAGAAUUCAGUGAAUCAUCGAAUCUUUGAACGCACAUUGCGCCCUCUGGUAUUCCGGAGGGCAUGCCUGUUCGAGCGUCAUUUCAACCCUCAAGCCUGGCUUGGUGAUGGGGCACUGCUUUUACCCAAGAGCAGGCCCUGAAAUUCAGUGGCGAGCUCGCCAGGACCCCGAGCGCAGUAGUUAAACCCUCGCUCUGGAAGGCCCUGGCGGUGCCCUGCCGUUAAACCCCCAACUUCUGAAAAUUUGACCUCGGAUCAGGUAGGAAUACCCGCUGAACUUAA
rnacentral:rRNA from 1 species